GAAAAGUGAAAGCCGAGCAGAGGUCUGUUCAGGUCUGCAUGUCCACAGAAAGUGGCUUCCAAGGCUUCAUCUUCACUACUGACAACACCUGCGCUCCAGGCCUCAGCUGCCUGCUCAGCAUCCCCACAGAGUUCCUCCUGCCCCCGCAAAUGCAGCGUGCCUCAGAUUAAACUCAUCACAGACUCCUUCUGUAACAUUUAUCUCUUUAAUGCUGCAACUCUCAUUCCAGAGUUUCAGGCUAGAACCCUCAAUUGCUUUUUCUCUUUUCUUUUUCUUUUUGCACGUAAAGAGUCACCCUAAGCUCACAUCUGUUGCCAAUCCUCCUCCGUUUUUUUUUUCCCCUCCCCAAAGCCCCAGUGCAUGGCUGUAUAUCCUAGUUGUAAGUCCUGCUAGUUCUUCCAUGUGAGCCGCCAUCACAGCACGGUAACUGACAGACAGGUGGUGUGGUUCUGCGAGCGGUAAGUGAACCCAGGCUGCCAAAGUAGUGGGCAUGCCAUCCACUGAGCAUUAACCACUAGGCCAUCAAGGCUGGCUCUCAAUUGUUCUUUUUCAAUCCAUUUUUGUUUUCCUUAACCCUUAUAUUCUGUGUCACCAAUUUCUAUCGAUCCUCCCUUUGAAAUGUCCAUUAGAUUUUCCCCUUUGUAUUGAGGUCCACCAUUGCCAUCUCAACCUAGAUUUUCAUUACUAUAGUCUUCACUAAGUUAUCUUUUUUAAUUUUAACAUUUAUAUCCAAAUCCACUGAGCAAAUCAGUCUGAUCUUUCUACAGCUUCAUUUAAAAAACAGAUGAACAACUUUUGCUUCUCAUUUCUAACACAAGAAAACCCAAAAAUUCAUGACUGACUUCUCAAAAUCUGGUCCCAUCCUAGAUACUGGUCCAAACUUAUGUCCCAAGAUUCCUCAAGACACCCGUGUCGGGCCACUUGCCUCAUGGUUCUUCACAAAAACAACAAAAACAUAUUAAGCACCUACUUUGUGCCCGGCUCAGUGGUUGGCAGUGGACAUAAGGCAGAAUCCAAGACACGCAUGAUCCCUGUCCUCAUGCAUCCUACAAUCUACCUUAGAUUUUCUCCCUUCUCUUAUCUGCCAAUAGUGCUCUGCCACUUAACAUUUAAUCACGUGCCAUCAUAUUACUGACUUAUUCAUGUAUUCAACCCAGGCUUAUUUACUAACUAUGGAAUCUGGGUGGGGUGCUGUGCUAGGCAGGUGGAAGCUUCAAGCUCUGGAAGUUGAAGAUUCUGCUGCCAUUAUAUUCCCAUCGUCUAGCACAGUGCGUAGAAAUCUGCUGCAAGCCCAAAGGACUUCUUUGCAUUCACUCAGGAUUCCCGCAUGUUACCACCUUGAAGCGCUCCACAUUGACAUGUGUUUUGUGGUCACAAUGAUGAGGGAAGUGAGAGCUGGAGAGUCUAGCAACAGCAAUGAACACUCCCACGCACAAGUGACUCCUGCCACACUGGCGCCUGUUACUUUGUUCAAAACAAUGGCUGUGCCGAACUACCAAGAGUGAAGAAGCGUAACCCUCUGUGUGCCCACGAACAGAAAAGAACUGGAUAUUAGUGCAUAUUGUUAUCUAUUACACUUACAUAAAACGAAAUUGUGUAUCAAAGACUUAAUCCCUACUUUCUGAAGCUGAAACACAUAUGUGGCAUCGACCAG
rnacentral:lncRNA from 1 species